rnacentral:rRNA from 1 species
AACGAACGCUGGCGGCAGGCUUAAUACAUGCAAGUCGAGCGGGCACUUCGGUGUCAGCGACGCACGGGUGCGUAACGCGUGGGAACAUGCCUUUAGGUACGGAACAACCAAGGGAAACUUUGGCUAAUACCGUAUAAUAUCUCUGGAUCAAAGAUUUAUCGCCUAAAGAUUGGCCCGCGUUAGAUUAGGUAGUUGGUGGGGUAAUGGCCUACCAAGCCGACGAUCUAUAGGGGGUCUGAGAGGAUGAUCCCCCACACUGGAACUGAGACACGGUCCAGACUCCUACGGGAGGCAGCAGUAAGGAAUAUUGGACAAUGGGCGAAAGCCUGAUCCAGCCAUGCCGCGUGAGUGAUGAAGGCCUUAGGGUUGUAAAGCUCUUUUAGAUGGGAAGAUAAUGACUGUACCAUCAGAAUAAGCCCCGGCUAAAUUCGUG